AGGGCAGUUCGGCUGCCCUGCGGAAAGCUCAGUAACACGUGGUCAAUCUACCCUUGGGACGGGUACAACCCCGGGAAACUGGGGAUAAUACCCGAUGGACGGGGGUUCUGGAAAGUCCCUCGUCGAAAAGUUCCGACGCCCAAGGACGAGACUGCGGCCCAUUAGGUAGUUGGUGAGGUAAAGGCUCACCAAGCCGAAGAUGGGUACGGGCCCUGAGAGGGGGAGCCCGGAGAUGGAGACUGAGACAAGGCUCCAGGCCCUACGGGGCGCAGCAGGUGCGAAAAUUCCGCAAUGCGUGCAAGCGCGACGGAGCGACUCCCAGUGCCGAUGAUCCAAAGACCGUCGGCUUUUUCGAAACGUAAAAAGUUUCGAGUAAUAAGGGCCGGGUAAGACUGGUGCCAGCCGCCGCGGUAACACCAGCGGCUCGAGUGGUAGCCACUUUUAUUGGGCCUAAAGCGUCCGUAUCCGGGCCGGCAAGUCCCUUGUGAAAUCGAACGGCUUAACCGUUCGGCGUGCAAGGGAGACUGUUGGUCUUGGGACCGGUAGGCGACGAGGGUACUCCGGGGGUAGCGGUGAAAUGCUAUAAUCCUCGGGGGACCGCCAGUGGCGAAAGCGCUCGCCGAUUCCGGAUCCGACGGUGAGGGACGAAAGCCAGGGGCGCGAACCGGAUUAGAUACCCGGGUAGUCCUGGCCGCAAAGGAUGUGAGCUAGGCGCCUGGCGCUCCUCGAGAACGUC
rnacentral:rRNA from 1 species